rnacentral:rRNA from 1 species
AUUGAACGCUGGCGGCAGGCCUAACACAUGCAAGUCGAACGAGUGGCGGACGGGUGAGUAAUGUCUGGGAAACUGCCUGAUGGAGGGGGAUAACUACUGGAAACGUUAGCUAAUACCGCAUACCAUCGGAUGUGCCCAGAUGGGAUUAGCUAGUGGGUGGGGUAAAGGCUCACCUAGGCGACGAUCCCUAGCUGGUCUGAGAGGAUGACCAGCCACACUGGGACUGAGACACGGUCCAGACUCCUACGGGAGGCAGCAGUAGGGAAUAUUGGACAAUGGACACAAGCCUGAUAGAGCCAUGCCGCGUGAAUGAAGAAGGCCUUCGGGUUGUAAAAUACUUUCGGCGGGGAGGCGGUACCCGAAGAAGAAGCACCGGCUAACUCCGUGCCAGCAGCCGCGGUAAUAC